rnacentral:rRNA from 1 species
UGGCGAACGGGUGAGUAACACGUGGGCAAUCUGCCCUGCACUCUGGGACAAGCCCUGGAAACGGGGUCUAAUACCGGAUAUGACUGUCCGCCGCAUGGUGGAUGGUGUAAAGCUCCGGCGGUGCAGGAUGAGCCCGCGGCCUAUCAGCUUGUUGGUGAGGUAGUGGCUCACCAAGGCGACGACGGGUAGCCGGCCUGAGAGGGCGACCGGCCACACUGGGACUGAGACACGGCCCAUACUCCUACGGGAGGCAGCAGUGGGGAAUAUUGCACAAUGGGCGAAAGCCUGAUGCAGCGACGCCGCGUGAGGGAUGACGGCCUUCGGGUUGUAAACCUCUUUCAACAAGGAAGAAGCGAGAGUGACGGUACCUGCAGAAGAAGCGCCGGCUAACUACGUGCCAGCAGCCGCGGUAAUACGUAGGGCGCAAGCGUUGUCCGGAAUUAUUGGGCGUAAAGAGCUCGUAGGCGGCUUGUCACGUCGGUUGUGAAAGCCCGGGGCUUAACCCCGGGUCUGCAGUCGAUACGGGCAGGCUAGAGUUCGGUAGGGGAGAUCGGAAUUCCUGGUGUAGCGGUGAAAUGCGCAGAUAUCAGGAGGAACACCGGUGGCGAAGGCGGAUCUCUGGGCCGAUACUGACGCUGAGGAGCGAAAGCGUGGGGAGCGAACAGGAUUAGAUACCCUGGUAGUCCACGCCGUAAACGGUGGGCACUAGGUGUGGGCAACAUUCCACGUUGUCCGUGCCGCAGCUAA